GGUCGGUUAUUUCAGUUGGUUAGCGCGUCGUACUGAUACAGCCCAAGGUGCAUCAAGUAAUGCGAAGGUCAUGGGUUUGACCCCCAUACUGACCA